GGACAAAAUGGGGAAAACAACCCCAGCCCAACAAUAAAGGGCAAGACCGCUUGCAGAACCCUGGCAAGCGAAAGUCCUCGCAGAAUGGUUAAAGGCCUGUUGCUGUGCUCAGUAAAUCCUGCCCGCCCUUCCUGAGAACUGGAGGUCGGGGAGGCUGGGAGUUGGGUAACUCUUGUGCUAAGCCUUGGGCAGCUCCACAUUUAUCUCGCUCGGCUCUGCGUGCACACACACAUGCACACACACACACACACACACACCACACACACCCCAGCCGUCUGCUCAGCUUUGCAAUCCAGUGGCGUGAGCUGCGAGAGAAGCAGAAUUUUCCAGUCUCUCUGCGUCUGUGACUUGGUGGGCCACCAGAAGCCUCGUGCUGGACCAGCCCCUGAACUGGUCCCAGAAGUAGGAUUGCUGAACCAACAGCUCUACCAUUCUAUUUUUUUCUCGUGGACUUUCAAUAAGUAUUUUCUGAGGAUGACAGGCCUUCACAAUAACAAGCUUUCCAAAGAGCAGUACUAUUCACAUUGUGAACCUGACCUGUGCUUUAUUAACUAA
rnacentral:lncRNA from 12 species